rnacentral:rRNA from 1 species
UACGUAGGGGGCAAGCGUUAUCCGGAUUUACUGGGUGUAAAGGGAGCGUAGACGGCGAAGCAAGUCUGAAGUGAAAAUCCGGGGCUCAACUCCGGAAGUGCUUUGGAAACUGUUUUGAUAGAGUGUCGGAGAGGUAAGUGGAAUUCCUGGUGUAGCGGUGAAAUGCGUAGAGAUCAGGAAGAACACCGGAGGCGAAGGCGGCUUACUGGACAAAGACUGACGUUGAGGCUCGAAAGCGUGGGAAGCAAACAGG